UACGUAGGGGCCGAGCGUUGUCCGGAGUUACUGGGCGUGAAGCGCGCGCAGGCGGCUCGUCAAGCCUGACGUGAAAGCCCCCGGCUCAACCGGGGAGGGUCGUCGGGGACUGGCGGGCUUGAGGUCGGCAGGGGUUGGUGGAAUUCCCGGUGUAGUGGUGAAAUGCGUAGAGAUCGGGAAGAACAUCGGUGGCGAAAGCGCUCUACUGGACCGCAACUGACACUCAGGGACGAAAGCUAGGGGAGCGAAUGGG
rnacentral:rRNA from 1 species